rnacentral:rRNA from 1 species
GAUGAACGCUGGCGGCGUGCCUAAUACAUGCAAGUCGAGCGAACGGACGAGAAGCUUGCUUCUCUGAUGUUAGCGGCGGACGGGUGAGUAACACGUGGAUAACCUACCUAUAAGACUGGGAUAACUUCGGGAAACCGGAGCUAAUACCGGAUAAUAUUUUGAACCGCAUGGUUCAAAAGUGAAAGACGGUCUUGCUGUCACUUAUAGAUGGAUCCGCGCUGCAUUAGCUAGUUGGUAAGGUAACGGCUUAUCAAGGCAACGAUGCAUAGCCGACCUGAGAGGGUGAUCGGCCACACUGGAACUGAGACACGGUCCAGACUCCUACGGGAGGCAGCAGUAGGGAAUCUUCCGCAAAGGGCGAAAGCCUGACGGAGCAACGCCGCGUGAGUGAUGAAGGUCUUCGGAUCGUAAAACUCUGUUAUUAGGGAAGAACAUAUGUGUAAGUAACUGUGCACAUCUUGACGGUACCUAAUCAGAAAGCCACGGCUAACUACGUG